AGAGGUGGCCGGGCGGCCGCCCUCCGCAGGAGGAGGGAGGAAAGUCCGGGCUCCACAGGGCAGGGUGGUGGGUAACCCCCACCGGGGGCAACCCCAGGGAAAGUGCCACAGAAACAUACCGCCUCCAGCCGGCUCCGGCCGGCGGGGGGUAAGGGUGCAAAGGUGCGGUAAGAGCGCACCGGCGGCGUGGUGACACGUCGGCCAGGCAAACCCCACCCGGAGCAAGGCCAGGUAGGGGGAGAGGAGGUGGCCCGCUGAUCCCCGGGUAGGCCGCUUGAGGCCUCCGGCAACGGAGGUCCCAGAGAGAUGGCCGCCCCGCCGCGGCCGCGGCGGACAGAACCCGGCUUAUAGGCCGCCUCUCCUG
rnacentral:RNase_P_RNA from 1 species